ACCGUGUCAGGCCACGUAAGUGCCACUUCGCUGAGGAGUGCAGCCUGUACAGCCCCGGGAGGACCGGGU
rfam:Japanese encephalitis virus strain Muar, complete genome